rnacentral:rRNA from 1 species
CCUACGGGAGGCAGCAGUGAGGAAUAUUGGUCAAUGGGCGAGAGCCUGAACCAGCCAAGUCGCGUGAGGGAGUACUGCCCUAUGGGUUGUAAACCUCUUUUGUCGGGGAGCAAAAGCCGGACGUGUCCGGCUGUGAGAGUACCCGAAGAAAAAGCAUCGGCUAACUCCGUGCCAGCAGCCGCGGUAAUACGGAGGAUGCGAGCGUUAUCCGGAUUUAUUGGGUUUAAAGGGUGCGCAGGCGGAUUUUUAAGUCAGCGGUCAAAUCGUGGGGCUCAACCCCGGCCCGCCGUUGAAACUGGCAGUCUCGAGUUGGAGAGAAGUAUGCGGAAUGCGCGGUGUAGCGGUGAAAUGCAUAGAUAUCGCGCAGAACUCCGAUUGCGAAGGCAGCAUGCCGGCUCCACACUGACGCUGAGGCACGAAAGCGUGGGUAUCGAACAGGAUUAGAUACCCUAGUAGUC